AGCAGCCGCGGUAAUUCCAGCUCCAAUAGCGUAUAUUAAAGUUGUUGCAGUUAAAAAGCUCGUAGUUGAAUUUCGGGAUUUAUCCGUCGGUCGGGCUUUUGGGUCUGUACUGGCGUGAUGAAUUCCUACCUUCUGAAUAACCAGCAUGCCAUUAAUUUGGUGCGCCGGGGAAGCAGGACUGUUACCUUGAAAAAUUAGAGUGCUUAAAGCAGGCUAUUGCCUGAAUACAUUAGCAUGGAAUAAUGAAAUAGGACGGCAUGGUUCUAUUUUGUUGGUUUCUAGGAUCACCGUAAUGAUUAAUAGGGAUAGUUGGGGGCAUUAGUAUUCAAUUGUCAGAGGUGAAAUUCUUGGAUUUAUUGAAGACUAACUUCUGCGAAAGCAUUUGCCAAGGAUGUUUUCAUUAAUCAAGAACGAAAGUUAGGGGAUCGAAGACGAUCAGAUACCGUCGUAGUCUUAACCAUAAACUAUGCCGACUAGGGAUCGGACGAUGUUAAUUUUUAAUGACUUCGUUCGGCGUACC
rnacentral:rRNA from 1 species